GGAGCUAUGGCUCAGUGGUAGAGUUCUUGCCUAGCACGCAUGAAUCUAGAUUCGAUCUCUAUCACUA
rnacentral:tRNA from 1 species